GGGGGCACACGACUGGCUAGGUGGUCUCUCGUUUGGCAGUUUGUUCGUUCAUACGAAUGGGUUAGCGAUGUCAUUCGUUUUCCCAUUCGUAUGUAGAAAACUGGUAACAAAAUAAGCAUAACAAAUCCAGGGGGUUUACAAAGUUACAGUCUGUGGUCCAGGCAAUAACAGUUCUGUUACAAUUUUACCCUACCUUACUCCCACAACUCAGACAGGCGUGCACUUGAC